rnacentral:tRNA from 1 species
GAAGGCAUGGUUCAGUGGUAGAGUGUGUGCCUACCAUGCGUGAGGUCCUAGGUUCAAUCCCCGGUACCUCCA